UACGUAGGUGGCAAGCGUUGUCCGGAUUUAUUGGGUUUAAAGGGUGCGUAGGCGGUUCCAUAAGUCAGUGGUGAAAUACAAUAGCUUAACUAUUGAGGUGCCAUUGAUACUGCGGAACUUGAGUAAAGACGAGGUAGGCGGAAUUGACGGUGUAGCGGUGAAAUGCUUAGAUAUCGUCAAGAACACCGAUAGCGAAGGCAGCUUACUAGACUGUAACUGACGCUGAGGCACGAAAGUGUGGGGAUCAAACAGG
rnacentral:rRNA from 1 species